GCAAUCUUGACAUGAGCCCUGUUUGGCUUUUGGAAGUAUUUUUCCAUUUUGUAAGAUUAUGCUGGGGAAGGUUUUCCGGUUUAUCUCGGAGGGCUUGUAGCUCAGUUGGUUAGAGCGCGCGCUUGAUAAGCGUGAGGUCGGAGGUUCAAGUCCUCCCAGGCCCACCAUUGAUAAGUGCUUGUAGAGUGCUUGUUGUGUGUGAACGUUAAGAGUGUGACGUAUAUCUAUCAGGUCGAAAAUGUGGAAUACACAAUUUU
rnacentral:misc_RNA from 1 species